UACAGAGGUCCCAAGCGUUGUUCGGAUUCACUGGGCGUAAAGGGUGCGUAGGUGGCAAGGUAAGUUUGAUGUGAAAUCUCCGAGCUUAACUCGGAAACUGCAUUGAAUACUAUCUUGCUAGAGGGUUGGAGGGGGGACUGGAAUUCUCGGUGUAGCAGUGAAAUGCGUAGAUAUCGAGAGGAACACCAGUGGCGAAGGCGAGUCCCUGGACAACUCCUGACACUGAGGCACGAAAGCUAGGGGAGCAAACAGG
rnacentral:rRNA from 1 species